CUUUACUGUGUUCCACCAUGCUGUGACGUAGCCAUAGACAUUGUAUAUGUCUAUGGAUGUAACAUUUUACAUUGAUAACAAUUGAUGGUAAUUGAUAGAUGUUAAUGCUAGUCAGAGUUGAGGUUGAGAGUAUACCUAAGUCGAAGCAAAUCAAGAAAAAUGGUCCUAGAAGAUUAUAAAGAAAUUGUGGGAUUUUGUGCCAUGUUUACUACGAUGGUACAAAUGUUAUCGGGAACACUAAUAUGUCGCAACAUAUAUAAGAAAGGUUCAGCCAGAGGAGUUGAUCCAAUGCCCUUUCUUGGUGGCGUAGGAUUGUAAGUAUACGUAUAGAUUAUGGCUA